GAGAGAUGGACGAGGGAAACGAAAGAGAACAGUCAUGUUUUCGACUAAGACGUAUUAAUAGAUGGCGAAGCUGUUAACUUCUCAAUUAUAACUCUUUCUUUCAUUUGUAAAUACUCAUCACUGUAUCUCCAUCAAUAACUAAAUAAAUACUUAGUCACCUAAAUGUGUGUCGUCAGCGUAGAAAUCCCCUAGACGCCGAGUUUACAUGGGCGCUUCGACCGGUUCUUCUUCAGUAAAGAUUUUGUUGUAACUCCAUCAUCGCCAGGAGGCCCUAUCGUGUCAGGAUACCUGAGUGUGAGUAGCAGGAGUGCAACAACUCAACACAACGAAAGGCAUUGCAGUGAGACGAGAGAUGGACGAGGGAAACGAAAGAGAACAGUCAUGUUUUCGACUAAGACGUAUUAAUAGAUGGCGAAGCUGUUAACAUCUCAAUUAUAACUCUUUUUUCAUUUGUAAAUACUCAUCACUGUAUCUCCAUCAAUAACUAAAUAAAUACUUAGUCACCUAAAUGUGUGUCGUCAGCGUAGAAAUCCCCUAGACGCCGAGUUUACAUAUAAAUCUAAAUAAAAUGCAAUAAAGAUGAAUGAAACAUUAAUGAACUGAAUAAAUAAUAAAUAUGUAAAAUUUAAACUAAAUAAAAAUCUGAAAAUGUUUCAGGUUAUAUUUCCCUCCUAGUCUUUUCAACAUAUUUAUAGACGGUCUUCACAUGUUUUUCGAUGUAUAAGAACAUAGUUCGGUGCAAUUUAUCAAAAA